GAACCACUCUCACGCACAUGAGUGAACCAAGCCAUGGAAAGUGACAGAGAGGAGUGGUCUGAAAAGUUGCAGACUGGAGUUCACUACUCUUGCCCAAAGAUCAUGACCGCCUGUCAGAUCCAGCUGGGUUCUGCUGUGCAAAAGGCACAAGGCUUGGGAUGGUCACAGCACAUGGAUCCUGAUGCUGUUGGUGUGGAUUCUCCUUCCAUUCAUAAAUCUAGGCUUCACCCUCUGAAGAACGGAAAUGUGCUGAACUCAAUAUUCCUAGAUGAGGAGGUGAAUCACACUGGAAUUUUAAAAUCCAUCCUUCCUGCCAUUCAUCUCUUUGACUCCAGAUUGGCUGAUUCAUAAGAACUUCACUACAGACAAUUUCUGCUUCUUGGCUUUUCUUAAAGUGUCUUUUAAAGUUUAAAUUGAUUGACUCACCGUUUUAGGUACCUUAAGGAGGAAGAUAGCCUUGCUGUGUCCAAUUUACAUUAUUCCUGAAAUUUUUAUCAGGCUUAUACCCCUGAUGGAGGUAUGAGUACAUAAUAAAUUGUUGUUUAACCAAGAGGAAAACGAAAAAUGUCUUCUGAACAGAAUAUAUUACUUUCCUCCUUUGUGCUUUUGCAUAUAUUUUUCCUUUCCCUGGGCUGGAUGACCCCAUUCUUCACCUAACUUGGACUUCAAGAUUGAGUACAGAGACUUGCUCUGAACUGAAUUUAGGCCAUAACAAAAUCCAUAGCUGUGAUCUUUCUUCUCUUUGCUUUGAAAUUCAAUGGCUAUUGAUUCAGUCAUCCUAUCAGUAAUGGCCAGCCUGUAGGGAAACCUGUGCAAAGUACAUCUGCAUGGAUAGUCUCACUUAAUCUUCACAAGAGUCACUGGGGUGGGGGCGCUUUUAAACAUUUCACUUUUCAGCCCCAUCUGAAACCGGUCGUGUCUGCAGGUGAGUCCUUGAGAUUAGCAUGCUAUGAGUCUCUGUGCAAUAUUAAUGUGCACCCAAGACUGAGAAUCUCUGAAUCAAAGAGUCCAUUUUAGUCCAUUUCAGGGAGCAAAAUAUAAGACUUCUGGGGACUUAAUGAGCUGAGAGAACCUGUAGGAGAUUUAAAGGUAGUUCAGGGUCUCUCUUCCCCUGUUGGUGCUCUGCCCUCCCUUCUCAGGUUGCUCCUCCUCCC
rnacentral:lncRNA from 1 species